UACAGAGGUCUCAAGCGUUUGUUCGGAUUCAUUGGGCGUAAAGGGUGCGUAGGCGGCGCGGUAAGUCGGGUGUGAAAUCUUGGAGCUUAACUCCGAAACUGCAUUCGAUACUGCCGUGCUUGAGGACUGGAGAGGAGACUGGAAUUUACGGUGUAGCGGUGAAAUGCGUAGAUAUCGUAAGGAAGACCAGGUGGCGAAGGCGGGUCUCUGGACAGUUC
rnacentral:rRNA from 1 species